rnacentral:ncRNA from 2 species
UUAAUGAAUUCAAUGAAAUUUCGUAUAACUCCAAUAAUAUGGUUUGGAGGUCUCUACCAGGAACCGAAAUUCCUGAUUACGAAGAAAGUACAAGAUUUG